AUUAUAGCAAAGAGGAUACACCUGUUCCCAUUCCGAACACAGAAGUUAAGCUCUUUAGCGCCGAUGGUACUUGGUGGGAAGCUGCCUGGGAGAGUAGGACGUAGCC
rnacentral:rRNA from 2 species